AGCAUCGGUCGGGAAUCGAACCUGGGCCACCCGCGUGGCAGGCGAGCAUUCUACCACUGAACCACCGAUUC
rnacentral:tRNA from 1 species